CAUAACCCUGGGCUGUCGUUCCUCAGCCCACAGUCAGUGUUCUUUACUUAGUCUUUACUCCGAGACAAUACAGCCAAGUCUCUGUGGGUAGAGGGAUGAUACAAUUCUGGUUUUCUUCACCCUAAAAAUUUACUGUCACGUUAUCAAGAUGACUUUAAUAUCAAACAAAC